rnacentral:rRNA from 1 species
UUGGAGGGCAAGUCUGGUGCCAGCAGCCGCGGUAAUUCCAGCUCCAAUAGCGUAUAUUAAAGUUGUUGCAGUUAAAAAGCUCGUAGUUGAAUUUCGGGGUCAGUAGAUUGGUCGUGCCACUGGUAUGUACUGGUCUUACUGGCUCCUCCUUCCUGAUGAACCGUAAUGCCAUUAAUUUGGUGUUGCGGGGAGACUGGACUGUUACUUUGAAAAAAUUAGAGUGUUUAAAGCAGGCUAACGCUUGAAUACAUUAGCAUGGAAUAAUGAAAUAGGACGUUCGAUCUUAUUUUGUUGGUUUCUAGGAUUGACGUAAUGAUUAAUAGGGAUAGUUGGGGGCAUUAGUAUUCAAUUGUCAGAGGUGAAAUUCUUGGAUUUAUUGAAGACUAACUACUGCGAAAGCAUUUGCCAAGGAUGUUUUCAUUAAUCAAGAACGAAAGUUAGGGGAUCGAAGACGAUCAGAUACCGUCGUAGUCUUAACCAUAAACUAUGCCGACUAGGGAUCGGAUGAUGUUAAUUUUUUAAUGACUCAUUCGGCGCCUUACGGGAAAC